UUGACUGUAAGGAGAGAGAGGAAAAAAAAAAAGGGAGGGGGCCUUUUUCUCUCUGCUUUCUUUUUCAGCUGUGUGCGAGCUGCUAAUUGAAACCAUCUCCUGGGCUCCAGCUGGUGGAGUUCCAGCCGGGAGGAGGGAGGAGGCUCCUUCGGCGUGGCAGUGAAGGAAACCUGAACACGUGUCUGAGUAAAUGCAGAAAUGGGGCCUGACACUUUAAUUCUGAAGGUGCACCACUCUAUGUCCCCAAUGCCACCUCUGCUUCUGGAGAAGACAGGGAAGGAGGUGUCCUUGGUUGUGCUGUUCACAAGGAC